rnacentral:rRNA from 1 species
CCUAGGGGGCGCAGCAGUGGGGAAUAUUGGACAAUGGGCGAAAGCCUGAUCCAGCCAUGCCGCGUGUGUGAAGAAGGCCUUCGGGUUGUAAAGCACUUUCAGUGGGGAAGAAAGCCUUGGGGCUAAUACCCUCGAGGAAGGACAUCACCCACAGAAGAAGCACCGGCUAACUCCGUGCCAGCAGCCGCGGUAAUACGGAGGGUGCGAGCGUUAAUCGGAAUUACUGGGCGUAAAGCGCGCGUAGGCGGUCUGAUAAGCCGGUUGUGAAAGCCCCGGGCUCAACCUGGGAACGGCAUCCGGAACUGUCAGGCUAGAGUGCAGGAGAGGAAGGUAGAAUUCCCGGUGUAGCGGUGAAAUGCGUAGAGAUCGGGAGGAAUACCAGUGGCGAAGGCGGCCUUCUGGACUGACACUGACGCUGAGGUGCGAAAGCGUGGGUAGCAAACAGGAUUAGAUACCCUGGUAGUC